ensembl:lncRNA
GUUGUGGGAGCUGUGAGGGUGCACGAACAAUGAGAACCCACAUGACAAACAAUAACGCACAAAACAGAGAGGGAAAUCAGAGGGUUAAAUAAGGAACAUAAUUAAUGGAAUGGAAACCAGGUGUGUAUGAUCAAGACAAAACAAAACGAAACAUGGAUCUAUGGUGGCGAGAAAGCCGGUGACGUCGACCGCCGCCCGAAGAAGGAGAGGGACCAACUUCGGCCGAAGUCGUGACAUUUGCACACACUGUAUAUAGACUUUCUAUUGUGUUAUUGACUGUAAGUUUGUUUAUCCCAAGUGUAUCUCUGUGUUGUUGUUUUUGUGCACUGAUUUGCUUUAUCCUUGCCAGUUGUAAAUGAGAACUUGUUCUCAAUUGGCCUACCUGGUUAUAUAAAGGUAAACGAUUUUUUAAAAUAGAUAUAUAUAUAUAUAUAAAAUAUAUAGAUAUAAAUUCCCGCCUCAGUUUGCUCACGGGAACCCCCGCACGCUGCUCAUUCACUCCAGGAGCUGUCACCCUGUCUCUCUCUCUCCUCCUCUCUCUCUCUCAAACUGACACACACCAAGUAGCUCGAGCCCCAGUGGAGACGCUGCUGACGCUCUGCUCGCUCCACCGACAACACCGAGUCACGUUCUGUUCUUUUCUCGCUCCACCGACAACACCGAGUCACGUUCUGUUCUUCUCUCGCUCCACAGACAACACCAAGUCACGGUAUGUUCUUCUCUGGCAGAACCGGAGAGCGAAAGCCCUUUAGGAUUCUAUCUAUCGCGUGUGAUAUUUGGAGCUGAACGACCGGUCGUGACGGAGGACGCGAGGGGAAAUACAAAAAAAGAGCGAAAGGGAGAAAAGAAAAGGUGGUGUCCUCCCAUCAGAAACACUCUGAGAGCAGCUUGACAGCACAGGACGGAAGGAGGGAGGGAGAGAGAGAGAGAGAGAGAGAGAGAGAGAGCCGACCAUCUGUGAAUCACAUCAAGGCAGCUGUGGUUAGAGUGGACUGCAGUUAUUUUACGAACGAGAGGCAGAGAGGGGGAUAGAAGUGGAGAGAAGGAGAGGGGAUAGAAGUGGAGAGAAGGAGGGGGAUAGAAGUGGAGAGAAGGAGAGGGGAUAGAAGUGGAGAGAAGGAGAGGGGAUAGAAGUGGAGAGAAGGAGAGGGGAUAGAAGUGGAGAGAAGG